rnacentral:lncRNA from 1 species
AUAGCCUUGCUGGAGAAAACUGUAGAAAAUGGGAUUUACACCUAUCAAUUACUGGGCAGAAGACCAAGUGUGAGAAUAUAUGUCAUCGGUUUGGAUGAACAUAUCAAGGAUAAACUCGACAGGGACGAAAAUACGUCAUUGGUUAAGAUGAACAUAUCAAGGAUAGACUUGCCUGGAAAUUUCAAAGAGGACACCCUUCAUCGGUUAGGAUGAACAUAUCAAGGAUAUACUGUAAGACCCUAAUUUUGACCCUAAGAUCCCUC